AGAGUUUGAUCCUGGCUCAGAUUGAACGCUGGCGGCAUGCCUUACACAUGCAAGUCGAACGGCAGCACGGAGCUUGCUCUGGUGGCGAGUGGCGAACGGGUGAGUAAUAUAUCGGAACGUACCCUAGAGUGGGGGAUAACGUAGCGAAAGUUACGCUAAUACCGCAUACGAUCUAAGGAUGAAAGUGGGGGAUCGCAAGACCUCAUGCUCGUGGAGCGGCCGAUAUCUGAUUAGCUAGUUGGUAGGGUAAAAGCCUACCAAGGCAUCGAUCAGUAGCUGGUCUGAGAGGACGACCAGCCACACUGGAACUGAGACACGGUCCAGACUCCUACGGGAGGCAGCAGUGGGGAAUUUUGGACAAUGGGCGAAAGCCUGAUCCAGCAAUGCCGCGUGAGUGAAGAAGGCCUUCGGGUUGUAAAGCUCUUUUGUCAGGGAAGAAACGGUGAGAGCUAAUAUCUUUUGCUAAUGACGGUACCUGAAGAAUAAGCACCGGCUAACUACGUGCCAGCAGCCGCGGUAAUACGUAGGGUGCAAGCGUUAAUCGGAAUUACUGGGCGUAAAGCGUGCGCAGGCGGUUUUGUAAGUCUGAUGUGAAAUCCCCGGGCUCAACCUGGGAAUUGCAUUGGAGACUGCAAGGCUAGAAUCUGGCAGAGGGGGGUAGAAUUCCACGUGUAGCAGUGAAAUGCGUAGAUAUGUGGAGGAACACCGAUGGCGAAGGCAGCCCCCUGGGUCAAGAUUGACGCUCAUGCACGAAAGCGUGGGGAGCAAACAGGAUUAGAUACCCUGGUAGUCCACGCCCUAAACGAUGUCUACUAGUUGUCGGGUCUUAAUUGACUUGGUAACGCAGCUAACGCGUGAAGUAGACCGCCUGGGGAGUACGGUCGCAAGAUUAAAACUCAAAGGAAUUGACGG
rnacentral:rRNA from 1 species